rnacentral:rRNA from 1 species
GACGAACGCUGGCGGCGUGCUUAACACAUGCAAGUCGAGCGAGCAGAUUCCCUUCGGGGAUGAAGCUAGCGGCGGACGGGUGAGUAACACGUGGGCAACCUGCCUUAUAGAGGGGGAUAGCCUUCCGAAAGGAAGAUUAAUACCGCAUAACAUCAGAUUAUCGCAUGGUAGACUGAUCAAAGGAGCAAUCCGCUAUAAGAUGGGCCCGCGUCGCAUUAGCUAGUUGGUGAGGUAACGGCUCACCAAGGCGACGAUGCGUAGCCGACCUGAGAGGGUGAUCGGCCACAUUGGGACUGAGACACGGCCCAGACUCCUACGGGAGGCAGCAGUGGGGAAUAUUGCACAAUGGGGGAAACCCUGAUGUAGCAACGCCGCGUGAGUGAUGAAGGCCUUCGGGUUGUAAAGCUCUUUGAUCAGGGACGAUAAUGACGGUACCUGAAGAACAAGCCACGGCUAACUACGUGCCAGCAGCCGCAGUAACAC